rnacentral:lncRNA from 1 species
AAGAAUGCUCAUGUUUGACCCAGUUCCUGUUAAGCAAGAGGCCCGUGGACCCUGUCUCGGUGUCAUACUCAUCUAAUUACAUGGAAUCCAUGAAGCCCAACAAGUAUGGGGUCAUCUACUCCACACAAUUGCCUGAUGAGUUCUUUCAGACCCUAGAAGGCCUGUGGCAUGGAAUACAGAUGGAGCCAGUGGACUUCAUGGUGAGCAAGCGGAGUUCACCUCCUUCUGCUGGGAAUUUGCACCCCUCUCUCAAGUUCCUAUCCUCACACCAGAGAGCCUCGCCUGGGUUGAGCAUGCCUUCUUCCAGCCCACCAAUGAAAAUACUCAUCCCCUUCUCCAGGCUGGCAGCCUUUUGACGUGCCACUUGUCCAUGCCGCAGAUGAUGGCAGCUGCCCUCUCCUGGCACAGAAUAUGGAGCCUGGGGAUCUUGCUGGUCAUCCAGCCGGUGGUGGUGCAGCCCAUCCCCUUUAUGUACAUGAGUCACCUCCAGGAGCCUCUCAUGGUCUCCUUGAGGAGGAGGAGGAGGAAGAGGUCUUCCAUGGAGGAGAUGAAAAAUUCCAGUAGUAGCAUGCAAGUACCUGUAAUUGAAUCAUAAGAAAAUCCUGUACCAGAGAAAAAAAUUAAAAUAGAACCUGGGAUUGAACCACAGAGGACGGAUUAUCCUGAAGAAAUGUCACCCCCCCCUUAAUGAACUCAGUGUUCCCCCCCACAAGCAUUGUUGCAAGAGAAUCACCCUUUGGUCAUCUUGCAGCCUGGGAAGAGACCUUUACCUGUGGAAUCCCCGGAUACUCGAAGUGGAGGAUACACAGAUGUGAUUACGAUGGAUGCAACAAAGUGUACGCUAAAAGCUCCCACUUGAAAGCACACAGAAGACGACACACAGAAAAACCCUACAAAUGUACAUGGGAAGGAUGCACAUGGACGUUUGCUCGGUCUGAUGAACUAAAAAGACAUUUAGGAAAACAUACUGGAAUCAAACCUUUACAGUGUCCGGACUGUAACCGUAGCUUUUCCCGUCCCAA